rnacentral:rRNA from 1 species
UCGAGAAUUUUUCACAAUGGGCGCAAGCCUGAUGGAGCGACGCCGCGUGGGGGAUGAAUGGCUUCGGCCCGUAAACCCCUGUCAUUUGCGAUCAACCGUUAUUAUUUAAAAGAUGAUAACCUGAUAGUAGCGAAAGAGGAAGGGACGGCUAACUCUGUGCCAGCAGCCGCGGUAAUACAGAGGUCCCAAGCGUUGUUCGGAUUCACUGGGCGUAAAGGGUGCGUAGGUGGCGGAGUAAGUCGGAUGUGAAAUCUCCGAGCUCAACUCGGAAAUGGCAUUGGAAACUGCUCUGCUCGAGGGUUGGAGGGGGGACUGGAAUACUUGGUGUAGCAGUGAAAUGCGUAGAUAUCAAGUGGAACACCAGUGGCGAAGGCGAGUCCCUGGACAACUCCUGACACUGAGGCACGAAAGCUAGGGGAGCAAACAGG